AGUUGGGGACUCAUGCGAUACUGCCUACGAUGAGUAGGAGGAAGGUGGGGAUGACGUCAAGUCAUCAUGCCCCUUAUACGCUGGGCUACACACGUGCUACAAUGGGUAGAACAGAGAUUGCAAAGCUGUGAAGUGGAGCUAAUCUCAGAAAACUAUUCUUAGUUCGGAUUGUACUCUGCAACUCGAGUACAUGAAGUUGGAAUCGCUAGUAAUCGCGAAUCAGCAAUGUCGCGGUGAAUACGUUCUCGGGUCUUGUACACACCGCCCGUCACACCACGAGAGUUGGUUGCACCUGAAGUAGCAGGCCUAACCGUAAGGAGGGAUGCUCCGAGGGUGUGAUUAGCGAUUGGGGUGAAGUCGUAACAAGGUAUCCGUACGGGAACGUGCGGAUGGAUCACCUCCUUUCUAAGGAAAAAAAGUCUUUCUCUAUUCUAUUGGUAAUGUUCUUUACAUUACUUCUGAACAUUGGAAACUAUAUAGUAGAACAAAAAUAACUCUAACAAUUUCUUAGAGUUAGCUGUCAAAAAAUAGAUUAAAAUAAUUAAGGGCACACAAAGGAUGCCUAGGUAGUAAGAGCCGAUGAAGGACGUGGUAAGCUGCGAUAAGCCUAGAUAAGUUGCAAUCGAACGUAAGAGUCUAGGAUUUCCGAAUGGAGCAAUCUAUUAAGAUGGAGUCUUAAUACGAAAGGGGGAACCGCGUGAACUGAAACAUCUAAGUAACGCGAGGAAAAGAAAGUAAAAACGAUACCCAAAGUAGCGGCGAGCGAACUGGGUCAAGCCUAAACCUUAAAUAUGUCAAGGAUACAGCCGUUGUAUUUAAGGGGUUGUGGGACAAAGUGUUGAAGAACUGUAAGAUAUUCAAUAUAGUGUAUUGAUGAAUUAGAAUUGUCUGGAAAGAUAAACCGUAGAAGGUGAAAGUCCUGUAUAAGUAAAUCCUUACACAUAUAACUUUGCUCCCAAGUAACAUGGAACACGAGGAAUUCUGUGUGAAUCUGUGAGGACCAUAUCUCAUAAGG
rnacentral:sRNA from 1 species